AAAUUAAGAACAGUGACACUUGCUAUUCACCUGCCUGCAAAGAGCCAUGCUGACAGCUCAUGUAUCUGGCUUGGUGGCCGUUGAUUAUUCCAGGGUCUUAGUGUAUCCAGUUUGUUGAGCAGUCUUUCUAACAAGACAUGGACCCCCUGGAUGCAGAGGCUUCCGUGACUCUGAGUGACCAGUGACCACUGCUCUGAAGAAGAAGGAAAAAUGUUUUCUCUUAUUUUUAACAGAAAGAAUUAAACUUCAUAUUUUUAAUUUCUAUUUGCCAUUACAUCUGUUAGUGCAAGUUAUCCUAAUAUUUUUUUUCAGUAGGUUUUUAGUUACUCUAGGUCAUUUUUGUUUCCAUAUAUAUUUUUAGACUCAGCUCGUCGGUUUCUCUAAACUGCCUUCUGGAAUUGAUAUAUCUGAAUAAAAUUAACCACUAUCUUAAAGAGAAUCUGCAAUCCCAUGGAACCUCCAUUCUGUUUUCUAUAGUGGCUGAACCAAUUUACAUUCCCAU